GGGGUUGUAGCUCAGUAGUAGAAUACUUGCCUAGCAUGAGCAAGACCCUAGGUUCAAUCCCCAACCUCA
rnacentral:tRNA from 1 species